GCCGAUGUGGCGGAAUUGGCAGACGCGCUACGUUCAGGGCGUAGUUCUCUUUACGGGAGUGUGGGUUCGACUCCCACCAUCGGCA
rnacentral:tRNA from 1 species